rnacentral:rRNA from 1 species
AGAGUUUGAUCCUGGCUCAGGAUGAACGCUAGCGACAGGCUUAACACAUGCAAGUCGAGGGGCAGCGAGGGAGUGGCAACACUUCUGUCGGCGACCGGCGCACGGGUGAGUAACGCGUAUGCAACCUGCCCUUCACAGGGGGAUAACCGGGAGAAAUUCCGACUAAUACCGCAUACGUCCUCCGGGGGCAUCCCCGGGGGAUGAAAGAGUUAUCGGUGAAGGAUGGGCAUGCGUGAUAUUAGGUAGUUGGCGGGGCAACGGCCCACCAAGCCCACGAUAUCUAGGGGUUCUGAGAGGAAGGUCCCCCACAUUGGUACUGAGACACGGACCAAACUCCUACGGGAGGCAGCAGUGAGGAAUAUUGGUCAAUGGACGAGAGUCUGAACCAGCCAAGUCGCGUGAAGGAAGACGGAUCUAUGGUUUGUAAACUUCUUUAGUGCGGGAACAAAGCGGCGUCGUGACGCCUGAUGAGUGUACCGCAAGAAUAAGCAUCGGCUAACUCCGUGCCAGCAGCCGCGGUAAUACGGAGGAUGCGAGCGUUAUCCGGAUUUAUUGGGUUUAAAGGGAGCGCAGGCUGCGAGGCAAGUCAGCGGUCAAAUGUCGGGGCUCAACCCCGGCCUGCCGUUGAAACUGUCCUGCUAGAGUUCGAGUGAGGUAUGCGGAAUGCGUUGUGUAGCGGUGAAAUGCAUAGAUAUGACGCAGAACUCCGAUUGCGAAGGCAGCAUACCAACUCGCGACUGACGCUGAGGCUCGAAAGCGUGGGUAUCGAACAGGAUUAGAUACCCUGGUAGUCCACGCAGUAAACGAUGAAUACUAACUGUUCGGAGGGCGACCUCUGAGUGGUAAAGCGAAAGCGUUAAGUAUUCCACCUGGGGAGUACGCCGGCAACGGUGAAACU